rnacentral:rRNA from 1 species
GGAUGAACGCUGGCGGCGUGCUUAAUACAUGCAAGUCGAGCGAACAGAUAAGGAGCUUGCUCCUUUGACGUUAGCGGCGGACGGGUGAGUAACACGUGGGUAACCUAUCUAUAAGACUGGAAUAACUCCGGGAAACCGGGGCUAAUGCCGGAUAACAUGUUGAACCGCAUGGUUCUACAGUGAAAGGCGGCUUUGCUGUCACUUAUAGAUGGACCCGCGCCGUAUUAGCUAGUUGGUGAGGUAACGGCUCACCAAGGCAACGAUACGUAGCCGACCUGAGAGGGUGAUCGGCCACACUGGAACUGAGACACGGUCCAGACUCCUACGGGAGGCAGCAGUAGGGAAUCUUCCGCAAUGGGCGAAAGCCUGACGGAGCAACGCCGCGUGAGUGAUGAAGGUCUUCGGAUCGUAAAACUCUGUUAUUAGGGAAGAACAAAUGCGUAAGUAACUGUGCGCGUCUUGACGGUACCUAAUCAGAAAGCCACGGCUAACUACGUG